rnacentral:rRNA from 1 species
UACAGAGGUCCCAAGCGUUGUUCGGAUUUACUGGGCGUAAAGGGUGCGUAGGUGGUCGGGUAAGUCUCAUGUGAAAUCCCGCAGCUUAACUGCGGAACGGCAUGGGAUACUAUUCGGCUCGAGGAUUGGAGGGGGGGACUGGAAUUCCCGGUGUAGCAGUGAAAUGCGUAGAUAUCGGGAGGAACACCAGUGGCGAAGGCGAGUCCCUGGACAAUUCCUGACGCUGAGGCACGAAAGCCAGGGGAGCAAACAGG